rnacentral:rRNA from 1 species
GACGAACGCUGGCGGCGUGCCUAAUACAUGCAAGUGGAACGCAUGAUUGAUACCGUAGCUUGCUACACCAUUAAUCAUGAGUCGCGAACGGGUGAGUAACGCGUAGGUAACCUGCCUACUAGCGGGGGAUAACUAUUGGAAACGAUAGCUAAUACCGCAUAAGAGUUUUUAACACAUGUUAGAAAUUUAAAAGGAGCAAAUGCUUCACUAGUAGAUGGACCUGCGUUGUAUUAGCUAGUUGGUAAGGUAACGGCUUACCAAGGCGACGAUACAUAGCCGACCUGAGAGGGUGAUCGGCCACACUGGGACUGAGACACGGCCCAGACUCCUACGGGAGGCAGCAGUAGGGAAUCUUCGGCAAUGGGGGGAACCCUGACCGAGCAACGCCGCGUGAGUGAAGAAGGUUUUCGGAUCGUAAAGCUCUGUUGUAAGAGAAGAACGUUGAGUAGAGUGGAAAGUUACUCAAGUGACGGUAUCUUACCAGAAAGGGACGGCUAACUACGUGCCAGCAGCCGCCGUAA